rnacentral:rRNA from 1 species
UACGGAGGAGGCAAGCGUUAUCCGGAAUUAUUGGGCGUAAAGCGUCCGCAGGUGGCACUUCAAGUCUGUCGUCAAAGACUGGGGCUUAACCCCGGAAAGGCGGUGGAAACUGAAGCGCUAGAGUGCGGUAGGGGUAGAGGGAAUUCCCGGUGUAGCGGUGAAAUGCGUAGAUAUUGGGAGGAACACCGGUGGCGAAGGCGGCUACCUGGACCGGUACUGACGCUGAGGCGCGAAAGCUAGGGUAGCAAACAGG